UGGGGAAUUUUCCGCAAUGGGCGAAAGCCUGACGGAGCAAUACCGCGUGAGGGACGAAGGCCUGUGGGUUGUAAACCUCUUUUCUCAGGGAAGAAGAUCUGACGGUACCUGAGGAAUCAGCAUCGGCUAACUCCGUGCCAGCAGCCGCGGUAAGACGGAGGAUGCAAGCGUUAUCCGGAAUUAUUGGGCGUAAAGCGUCCGCAGGCGGUCUCGUAAGUCUGUCUUUAAAGCGUGGAGCUUAACUCCAUAAAGGGGAUGGAAACUGCGAGACUAGAGGUAGGUAGGGGUAGAAGGAAUUCCCAGUGUAGCGGUGAAAUGCGUAGAUAUUGGGAAGAACACCAGCAGCGAAGGCGUUCUACUGGACCAAACCUGACGCUCAUGGACGAAAGC
rnacentral:rRNA from 1 species